rnacentral:rRNA from 1 species
GACGAACGCUGGCGGCGUGCUUAACACAUGCGAGUCGAACGGAAAGGCCCUGCUAUUGUGGGGUUCUCGAGUGGCGAACGGGUGAGUAACACGUGAGUAACCUGCCCUUGACUUUGGGAUAACUUCAGGAAACUGGGGCUAAGACCGUAUAGGAUCUCCUGCUGCAGGGUGGGGGGUGGAAAGUUGCGGCGGGUGGGGAUGGACGCGCGGCUGAUCAGCUAGUUGGUUGGGUAGUGGCUUACCAAGGCUGUGGCGGGUAGGCGGCCUGGGAGGGUGGCCGGGCACAUUGGGACUGAGAUAGGGCGCAGACUCGUACGGGGGGCAGCAGUGGCGAAUAUUGCACAAUGGGCGGAAGUCUGAUGCAGCAACGCCGGGUGCGGGAUGACGGCCUUCGGGUUGUAAAAAGCUUUCGCCUGUGACGCAGCGUGAGUGACGGUAAUGGGUAAAGAAGCACCGGCUAACUACGUG